GAGUUUUGAGAGAGAGAGAGAGAGGGCAGUAUGAGAGUUGGUGAGGGGUAUUUAUGCGUGUGAGGUUAUAACAGUAAAAAUGCGUUAUUUACAGACACCUUUUUUGACUGUGGGUGGGUAACUCGGGGGGUUUUUUUUUAUUUGAUUGUACUUUUUCAACGGGUGCGGAAAGGAGAGGAGGUAAACAGAGAAAUGAAAGAGAGGAAGCAACAGAUGACUUUGAUGACGUAAGCGAUAUGACACGUGUGGGACGUUGUCACGUGCUUGAAAGUGUAGCAGUAGCUUCCUCCUU
rnacentral:lncRNA from 1 species